AGCGAACGCUGGCGGCAGGCCUAACACAUGCAAGUCGAACGGAUCCUUCGGGAUUAGUGGCGGACGGGCGAGUAACACGUGGGAACGUGCCCUUUGGUUCGGAACAACUCAGGGAAACUUGAGCUAAUACUGGAUGUGCCCUUCGGGGGAAAGAUUUGAUCGCCAUUGGAGCGGCCCGCGUCUGAUUAGCUAGUUGGUGGGGUAAAGGCCCACCAAGGCGACGAUCAGUAGCUGGUCUGAGAGGAUGAUCAGCCACAUUGGGACUGAGACACGGCCCAAACUCCUACGGGAGGCAGCAGUGGGGAAUCUUGCGCAAUGGGCGAAAGCCUGACGCAGCCAUGCCGCGUGAAUGAUGAAGGUCUUAGGAUUGUAAAAUUCUUUCACCGGGGACGAUAAUGACGGUACCCGGAGAAGAAGCCCCGGCUAACUUCGUGCCAGCCGCCGCGGUAA
rnacentral:rRNA from 1 species